CCUACGCUCGAGUACCAGCUUAAAUUUGGUUAGGCCCAUGGAAAAGGGUACUUUCCAAGACAUUUCAUCCGAACUGUUCAAUAGCCUACCAUCUGACAUUAUAUCUAUAUACGACUACAGUCAAUUCUGUACAAAAGUUAGGGCUGUACUAAAGUCUCGUAUAAUGUAAAUAUGCACUAACAUUUUUAUCUAAAUAUUCAUUUUCUAUAUUACCUAAGUUUGUAUAUAUAUUUACAUUUAGCUAAAACAUUUUGUAUGUAGUUUCAAUAGGGGAAGAGCAACCUCGUGGA